rnacentral:rRNA from 1 species
AGCGAACGCUGGCGGCAGGCUUAACACAUGCAAGUCGAGCGGGCGUAGCAAUACGUCAGCGGCAGACGGGUGAGUAACGCGUGGGAACGUACCUUUGGUUCGGAACAACACAGGGAAACUUGUGCUAAUACCGGAUAAGCCCUUACGGGAAAGAUUUAUCGCCGAAAGAUCGGCCCGCGUCUGAUUAGCUAGUUGGUAGGGUAAUGGCCUACCAAGGCGACGAUCAGUAGCUGGUCUGAGAGGAUGAUCAGCCACAUUGGGACUGAGACACGGCCCAAACUCCUACGGGAGGCAGCAGUGGGGAAUAUUGGACAAUGGGGGCAACCCUGAUCCAGCCAUGCCGCGUGAGUGAUGAAGGCCCUAGGGUUGUAAAGCUCUUUUGUGCGGGAAGAUAAAUGACGGUACCGCAAGAAUAAGCCCGGCUAACUUCGUGCCAGCAGCCGCGGUAAU